GACCUGCUAGCUCAGUCGGUCAGAGCGUCGUGCUAAUAACGCGAAGGUCACAGGUUCGAUCCGUGUGCAGGCCA
rfam:Ixodes scapularis strain Wikel colony gcontig_1108379484619, whole genome shotgun sequence.